GCAGGUGAAGGUGUGUGGCGAGGUAGCCACGGGAACAGGGCCCAAUAAGAAGGUGGCGAAGCGGAAUGCUGCCGAGGCCAUGCUACUACAGCUGGGAUACAAGGCCUCCACCUGCCCACAGAGCCCUACUGAGAUGGACGACAAAGGCUGGAACGGACAAAAGACGGCUUUUAACGAAACUCCAA